UUGACCAGUUCUCAGCCACAAAUGAGGAUUCUAUUGGAUGAAAGACCACUCUUAACACACUGUGCCAAAGAACUUGCCUACAUUGCGUCCAUGGCCUAAGACCUUGUGGAAGAAUAAACUUAAAGUCAUGACAGCAGGAUGCUCAGCAGCCCUGUCAUAUUGAGAAGUGAUGGUAAGGACAGAAGCCAAGUACCAUGGAUGGCAGAAAGGAGGUUCUACUCACUGAUGACCACAUGGCCAUCUUAGAGCCCUGGGCUGACCCUGCUGAACUCUUCAUUGACUAUAAAAGUGGGGGUUUGUUUUGAAGUGGACGUGACUAAUACCUAUCACAUCUUUGAAUUCAUCUUCAAUGAGAUUCAACAAAUUUCAGAGCACUAAAUCCUGUCCCUGCCUUGUGAAUUGAUCUGGCAACCUUGCCAGUGAAUGAGAUAGUGUCCAGCUGUCCCAUUUGAGCCGUCUGAGCCAGCAUAGAGCUAGAUGACCGACAAAUAAGAGUGCUUAGCCAAGAGAAUGGCUUGCUUGACCAACACCUGGUUACAGAUGAGCCUGCCAUGAUGAGAACACUUCAUCCCUGCCAAUAGUGUUCAUGUGUAAAUAGUUAAUGAAUUUUGUAAGAGCUUGGAGAAUGCUUAAGAAGAAUACUAUUAAUCAUCAUCAGUAGCAACAGAAGAAAGGACAAGGACCCCUACAACUAGAUGAGGAAUGUCUGAUUUCCUCCUAUGGAAAUACAGAUUGCAAGAGAUGACGGGAUGAAAAAGUCAGUGCAUCUUUAAAGAACAGAGAAAAGCAAUACUAGGCCCUGAUGAAAGUGUUGAAGGUCCACCAUUUGGGGCCUCCUCCUACAACCUCCUACUUUGAAUACCAUCUGGAGCUAUGGAAGUACCUGGUGACCAAGAGGGAGCAGCCAUGGGGAUGUAGACAAUCAAGAAUAUGGUGACAAUGCUACCUACCAUUGG